UACGUAGGGUGCGAGCGUUGCCCGGAUUUAUUGGGCGUAAAGGGCGCGUAGGCGGCCACGCACGUCCGUUGUGAAAUCGCCCGGCUCAACUGGGCGGGGUCAGCGGAUACGGUGUGGCUCGAGCAAGCUAGGGGGCAAUGGAAUUCCCGGUGUAGUGGUGGAAUGUGUAGAUAUCGGGAGGAACACCAGUGGCGAAGGCGGUUGCCUGGAGCUUUGCUGACGCUGAGGCGCGAAAGCGUGGGGAGCGAGUCCGG
rnacentral:rRNA from 1 species